rnacentral:rRNA from 1 species
CAGCCGCCGCGGUAAUACCGGCGGCCCGAGUGGCGGUCACUAUUAUUGGGCUUAAAGCGUCCGUAGCCGGGUUGGGAAGUCCUCCGGGAAAUCUGGCCGCUUAAAGGUCAGAAUGCCGGAGGAUACUCCCAGCCUAGGGAGCGGGGGAGGCCGAGGGGAUUCCCGGGGUAGGGGGGAAAUCCUAUAAUCCCGGGAGGACCACCUGUGGCGAAGGCGCUCGGCUGGAACGCGUCCGACGGUGAGGGACGAAGGCCAGGGGAGCAAACCGGAUUAGAUACCCGGGUAGUCCUGGCUGUAAACGAUGCGGACUUUGUGUCGGACAAGCUAUGAGCUUGUCCGGUGCCGGAGGGAAACCGUUAAGUCCGCCGCCUGGGGAGUACGGCCGCAAGGCUGAAACUUAAAGGAAUUGGCGGG